rnacentral:lncRNA from 1 species
UCUGCCAUAUUGUUUCUCAAAAAAAAUUAACAAAACAGAUGGCAUGAGAAUACAGUGUCUAUAAAAUAUUCAAACUGAGUUUUUAUCUCCUGUUUAUACACAUAAUGGCUCUAGAUGUCAUAUGUAGGUUUCCGGCAUAAUCACAAGUAAUCUGACAGGAGAAUAAUUGGGAAGGACUCUGACCUCUGUUAUAUGCAGAAUCUAGAAUUUUUUACUUAUAGUCAUGCCUGGUUAAGCAAUAUUUGAAUUAAAAGUCAUGCAGUUUUUGCUUCCGAGAAGUGGAGCAGCAAAGGUUUCAAUAUGCUCCAGUGAAUGAUCAAUACACCAAAUACAACACAAAAUUCUCAAUCAAAACCAACACCAAACUUCCCUCCACUACACCUAGCCUACAAAUGGAAAAAGAAGAAAGAUAUGACUUUGUUUAUUUCAAUUGGUGGGAAUCUAAUCAUUUCAAUAUGAUUAGACGUGCAAAAUGAUAAUACACUUUUCUACUCAAUCCAUAGCUAUGUUUUACCAUUCUAUACUCACAUAUUUUUUCUUUUCUUACUCAGACCAUAUAUGAAAUAUAUAUCAACUAAUGAUCUUAUAUCAUAGACACAUAAAGUUUUCCUCACAAUGAACCCCUUCUUAAUAUAGUUAUUGAAUUGAAUAGAGGCUCCAAAUUAGUAACAUCAAUUGGGAUUACUUGGCGGUUUCUGUGCCCUCGGGCAGUUUUAAUGUCAUUGCUUAUCAAAAAGAAAAAAAAAGGGAACUCUGGAUAACUUGAGAUCUGUUAUAAGUGAGAAUAUGGUCAAAAUCAACUAGUCAGACACCAAUUCCUUAAACUGAUAUGAAACGUUAUGUGGGGCCUGCAUCCUAGGGGCUGUUUCACAAUAAAAUUUUGCAACUUGGUUUGCUUACCAUAUCAGAUGGUAAAGAAUGUGGUGUUUUUAUGUUUAUAUUUUGUUUUUUUUAUUAAUAUGACAGAUUAAAUGAGCCCCAAAAAUCAAGUCUCUAUGGUUAUUAACAAGCAAUAGAGCAGUAGUUCCCGUCCUAAAAGAGAGGUGUUAGGUAUAGAUAUUUUAUGGGGUCUAGAGGAGAAGAAUUAAAAUUAUUUGUUUAUCAGAUGUAAUAAGAUAAAACUAGUUAGUUGGGGAGAAAACUAAACCUAGAUGUCCCAUCCUGGGAGGAAUCGAGAUAUCACUGAGCAGCUCAACAGGUUAGGGGAACAUCCCAUAAAAAAUUAGAAUAACCAUUUGACAGUUUUUUUAUAAUUGAGAAAUCAACUAAACUGUGUAUUAAUUAUGUUGAGUUUACAAUUACUCUGAAAGAUAGAUCACAUUCAGGGUAAAAGAAAGGAAUUGAUUAAGCAUAUUAGGUGGCAACCUCCAUUAAUUCAGUGGAUGAAGUUGAAUUCUGAUGGGUAUAGAAAGGAUUCUCAGUUCAGGAGUUACAGGUAUCAUAAUUUGUGGUGAUAAUAGGAAUUAGUAUAGUGAAAUCUUAUCGGUACCCUUUGGAACUUGAAGCAGUGGCCUUUCAGAGUGAUUUGCUCAUGGAAAAAGGAUGGGAUAUUAAAAAAUCUUGAACAGAAGCUCCUUUACCACCAUUCUCAUUUUGAUCCCUAUGGAAGAAUUUAGCAGCAUCAUAUACAGAGCACUGGAAUCAGGGUUUAAGGUUUUUGGAUGGAUGGAUGGACGGGGUUGAGGGAGAGGUUAUUUCUUGUCUUUAACAAGCUGAUAUAAUUUGUUUUUUUUCCUUUUUGUCAAGGGAGUUCAAUACAAGUAUUUUCAGUGUGUUCCUAGUUCGAGGCAACUUCAGGGUUUGAUGAUUAACUUGAAGAAAAGUGAGAUUAUUCCAAUCAAUGUGCAAAGAUUUUCUUCUGUUCUUAAUUGUAAGGUGGGUUCUUUACCCUCUACUCAUCUGGGCCUCCUUAGGUGCCAGGCUCCCAGAAAAGCAAAGACAAUAAAUAUAGUAAUCAGAUACUAAGAGGGUUGAAGGGUGGCUGUCUAGCUGGAAGAGACAAUACUUAUCAAAAGAGGGUAAAGUUUCUUUGAUUCUAAGCACAUUAGUCAGUACAACUUAUUAUGUGUACUUUUGUCAUUUCAGGGUCAGUUAUGAGGAAAACUUGAAAAUUUUGAGAUCAAACAUUUACAGGAAGGGUUGGAGAGGAGAAAAGAGAUUACCACCUGAUAAAAAAAGAGCAGGCUAUAUUGGCAUCUAGAAAUUUGGGGGGGAUGCCAGCUCUAUUGGGCAACUAGCUUUGGAAAGUUACUGCUAAGAGAGAUUGUUGCUGGAGGAAAGUAGUGUGUGUUUAAUAUGGGAAAGGAGUGGGAGGUUGGUGCUCCGAGUUGGUGAAAAGUUCCUGAUUAUGGAAUGGAAAUGGCAUUACAUGGGGAGACCUUCAACACAGCAGGUUCCAGAUGGGUAAUGGAAACAGAUUUCCUUUUGGCUUGAUAUUUAGAGUGGGNNNNNNNNNNNNNNNNNNNNNNNNNNNNNNNNNNNNNNNNNNNNNNNNNNNNNNNNNNNNNNNNNNNNNNNNNNNNNNNNNNNNNNNNNNNNNNNNNNNNUGAUUAACUUGGAGAAAAGUGAGAUUAUUCCAAUCAAUGUGCAAAGAUUUUCUUCUGUUCUUAAUUGUAAGGUGGGUUCUUUACCCUCUACUCAUCUGGGCCUCCUUAGGUGCCAGGCUCCCAGAAAAGCAAAGACAAUAAAUAUAGUAAUCAGAUACUAAGAGGGUUGAAGGGUGGCUGUCUAGCUGGAAGAGACAAUACUUAUCAAAAGAGGGUAAAGUUUCUUUGAUUCUAAGCACAUUAGUCAGUACAACUUAUUAUGUGUACUUUUGUCAUUUCAGGGUCAGUUAUGAGGAAAACUUGAAAUUUUUGAGAUCAAACAUUUACAGGAAGGGUUGGGGAGGAGAAUUACCACCUGAUAAAAAACGAGCAGGCUAUAUUGGCAUCUAGAAAUUUGGGGGGGAUGCCAGCUCUAUUGGGCAACUAGCUUUGGAAAGUUACUGCUAAGAGAGAUUGUUGCUGGAGGAAAGUAGUGUGUGUUUAAUAUGGGAAAGGAGUGGGAGGUUGGUGCUCCGAGUUGGUGAAAAGUUCCUGAUUAUGGAAUGGAAAUGGCAUUACAUGGGGAGACCUUCAACACAGCAGGUUCAAGAUGGGUAAUGGAAACAGAUUUCCUUUUGGCUUGAUAUUUAGAGUGGGGAAGGACCACUCAUAAGGAGAUUCCUGAAAUUAUUCAAGAUUACAACUAAUAAGGAUACCAGGUUGGUAAUUAUUGGUGUUUCAAGGGUUUGGUGGAUAUUGGAAUCUGAGAUAUAUUAGAGAUUUUCAGGAUUGGAGCUAGGUGACAUGAUGCCUAACUGAAUUACAUUCCAGCACUGAAUGUAAGGGUGGAUGCUUUGUUAUGGAGUUUCUGGGUUUAAUCCUUCAUAAGGAGAAAGUGAUAGGGUAGGGAAUGAAUGUCCUGCCAAAGAGAUCUGCAGUCCUAAGGCUCCUACAGAGGUAUUAAUCUUGUGUGGCAGCCACUCAGACUACAAUUUUAACUACCAGCCGGUUAGCAAGGAGAGGGCAAAUAGUCCAAACUGGUGUUGCAUGCCUGGCUCACACAGUGACUCAUGGUCCAUGUUUCCUCUAUGGAGCAGUUAUCUAGGCUAUCUCAAAACCUUAAAGCAAGAUUAGGAGAGGGGGGUGUCUCAACUUAGCAAGUUGCCCAAAGGAAAGACACCAAUGUGGCAAGCUGCCAUUAUGAGCAUUUCUGGGGGGUGGUUGAAUGCCUUGGAUUACCCAAUACUAGUUGUGGUGGAUGUGGUAAGCACCCCUGAGGUUUGGGUCUCCAUGGAGAGUCUAAAGGGCUCAGCAUGGAAGGUUCCUUGGUUAUCAAUACAUACAUAAGAAAUUUAGAAGGUCUAGAAGUUCUAGAUUGGAAGCAUAAUGAGAUGGUUUUGUGCUUCCUUUUCUUAGGCAUUAGCAUGGAAUGUAGAGCUUAGGAGCUCUUCUUGAAUUUCAUUCAAGAUUUGCAUGGGGCUUGAAUUGCAGUUCCUCGUUUGGGGUGUUCUCGUUAUUUUUUCUAGGCAAGCAUUCUCAUUAUAUUUUAUCUCACUUUUGGUUGUGCCACUUUCUGCAUUUUCAGUGAUGCUAUUAAAAUCUUCUGAAAACAUUCGUUGCUUACACAACUGAGUGUAGUACUGUCUGGGACUUGAUACUAUGACCUUUCAGACUGCCCAGUAAUCUAGCCUGUCACCAGGCCAAAUCCCAAAAAAAAAUGAAAUACAAUAAAUUCUAUCUAUGUCCACUUUACUUGGUUCAAACUAAAUUUAGCAUAUAUCACUGCAAGAAGAAAUCAUAACCAAGUAUAAGGCACUGUUGACAUAUUACCAACUCUCUGCCAAGAACACAGGAGACUUAAAUGAACCAGGAGAAAAUAAAGUCUGGAAGGCAUCAUUGGUAAUAUGGCAUCUAAAAAUUUUCUACAAACCUGAAUCUUCUUCUAUCAAAUCAUUGCUAAAAAUUAUCAAGGUCAAUUACUUAAGACACUCACAUACAUUUUCAGGAGUAGUUGAAAUACCCUCAAAUUUCAGAUGUAAAUUGGAUACUCCCUAUAGCUUGGCAAAUAGACUUACAACAAGACUUUAAGUUUUAGACACGAAAACACUGGACCCUAUACGGUUUGUCAUAAUGUUACUUAAACAACAACAACAUUUUUCCAAUUAUAAAAAAACAUUUCUUGUUAUUUCGUUUUAAACUAAAAGGAUUAACCUUCAACAAUUAUAAAAGAAGAGAUACACCCAUUAACACAAUCAAUCUGUGCUAGGAACUAGAUUAACAUUUACAAAACAUAUAUAACACAGCCACAGUAUGGGGGGUACCGUGUCCAUAAUAUGGAUGGGUUUACUCAAGUGUCUAUCCAAAACCUCAAGGCGUAUCUAAGUAAAUAGCCCCCUAUUAUCAUUCACAGGAACCAGGAUUAAAUAAAUUUGCACAUUCAGUGUAUGAUUUUACAUCUAACAUCCAGAAUUAACAUUCUUAUGAUUGAAAUUGAAAGGAACACUCCAAUCAAAAAAAAAAAAAAAAAAUUGAAAGGAACACCACAACCAUUGGAACUUGUAUAUAAAAAGGUCCAUUAAAAAAUUUUGAAAAAUAGAAUUUUGUACUCUGGAAAUCUCAUUGAAAUUGUCAUAAGUCUUGAGUAGGACAACUGUUAAACUCAGCCGUUCAAAUGUCAAGUGAAUUGCUAAAUGGUUCAACCUCAAUUCCAUUCCAAUAAUCUAUUUCCAAAUUAACUUAACUUCUACAUGCCAACAUAUAACCCCACUUGGUUGCUGAGAAACUUAAGGAAAAAAAGGCCUUAUGUUUCAGAUUCACCUAAAGAAAAAUUAAAUAACCAACUCAAUCAAUUCCUAUGCUAAUCUUUUUC